CCUACGGGGGACAGCAGUGGGGAAUAUUGCACAAUGGGGGAAACCCUGAUGCAGCAACGCCGCGUGAAGGAAGACGGUUCUCGGAUUGUAAACUUCUGUUCUUAGUGAAGAAUAAUGACGGUAGCUAAGGAGCAAGCCACGGCUAACUACGUGCCAGCAGCCGCGGUCAUACGUAGGUGGCAAGCGUUGUCCGGAAUUACUGGGUGUAAAGGGAGCGCAGGCGGGAAGCCAAGUCAGCUGUGAAAACUACGGGCUUAACUUGUAGACUGCAGUUGAAACUGGUUGUCUUGAGUGAAGGAGAGGUAGGCGGAAUGCCGGGUGUAGCGGUGAAAUGCGUAGAUAUUCGGAGGAACACCGGUGGCGAAGGCAGCCAACUGGGCUUUAACUGACGCUGAGGCUCGAAAGUGUGGGGAGCGAACAGGAUUAGAUACCCGGGUAGUC
rnacentral:rRNA from 1 species